UACGUAGGGUGCAAGCGUUAAUCGGAAUUACUGGGCGUAAAGCGUGCGCAGGCGGUUGUGCAAGACAGAUGUGAAAUCCCCGGGCUUAACCUGGGAAUUGCAUUUGUGACUGCACGGCUAGAGUGUGUCAGAGGGGGGGUAGAAUUCCACGUGUAGCAGUGAAAUGCGUAGAGAUGUGGAGGAAUACCGAUGGCGAAGGCAGCCCCCUGGGUCAAUACUGACGCUCAUGCACGAAAGCGUGGGGAGCAAACAGG
rnacentral:rRNA from 1 species